CCCUCCAUAGCUUAAUGGUAAAGCAGUUGCCUCUUAAGCAAUUGACCCAGGUCCGAUUCCUGGUGGGGGGACAA
rnacentral:tRNA from 2 species